ACGAGGGAAUAACAGGAAGGAAAUUUGACCUGCGUGCGCUGAGCACUGAGCAGCACUCACACCCCCUGCUGCGCUGCGAAGGAAGGUUCUACUGUAGUCAGUACUAUAGCUUCGUAUUGUAUGCGUUCUCGGAUAAUUUCUCCACUUUGAAUUCAUUCCUCGUGAGCGCACAGCGCAGUGUCGCAUUACAACUGCUCUAGUUAUUUAAUGUGACAUGAAUACAAAACGGACCUGAUAAAAGGCUUGUUGAACGAGCUGAUAAACGUCAUUCCCGCACAUUUUUCGGUCAAUAUGAUGCUUGACACACAGUAGCCAAAGUUAGCUCAACUGGCCUGUUUAUUCGGACUGCAACCUAUCAUCGAAAAUUACUUGGUUGACAGUGUGACAAAACGGAUCCUCCGCCGACUGUCACCCAAGAAGCUAUACGACCCGGACCCGCCAGAGGAGCGUGAAAAAAACAGAACUAUCGGAGGCUGUUGUCUCAAAGAGGUAGCUUGCAGUGAUGUCCAAGGCAACGAAGUCAGCCUCCAAGUCUCGGUCCCACUCCCGCUCCAGAAGCAGCUCACGAUCCAGAUCUCGGAAACAUCGCUACAGGUGGUCAAAGCAAGAGUGUGAAGAGUCGGACAACCCCUCCCUCU